CGCCGAGUAUGCCGCCAUUUUGCUGUACAGAAGAUGGGUGGAAGACGCCGCCAUUUAUGAAAAAGACAGAUCCUGCACACAGUCUCUGAGCUGAAAGAGAAAGUCUGUGAGGAAUUCCCGCGGUACCGCGCCAUGGUAUGUGACAGACUGGGUGAAGGGAGAAGCCAUCGGUGCUGCUGAGAUCCCUGAGGGCAUCCAAGGACCAGGGAAGACCGCAGCUGUUGCCGUGCGGUCAGUCGGCGUUUGAGAGGAAGCAGGCAGGGAAGAGAGACUCCGCGCCGUUGCUAAGGGCAUUAGCGAAACACUGAUUGUGAUUUCUGGGUCUGUGUUUGCAACCCCUGGUCCGGAACCCGGACCGUGUUCCCGUUCGCUCGUUCCAAGUGGUUUCUGUCCCGCAACCUCCGUCUGCCCCCGGCUCAUCUCCGCCGGGCUCUGCGAACUUGCUGAAAGCAAAGCCAUGCUUGUUACGUUUAAAAAUUGCCGCGGAGCCUCUGGGGCCGCCCCGCUGGCUCUAAAUGCAAUCCUACCCGCACCGGGCCGCGCCACUUCUUUAUUUUCUGCUGUUUGCGGUGGCUGCGCACUUUGAGUAGCCUGAUCUGUCUGCAGUUCCUGGCCGCGCAGAUUGCGUACCUUGCGAGCUUUUCACGGUUUUAAACUGUUGCGCGCCGGGGAGCGAUCCGCCCGCUCUCGGGCUGGUCUCCAGUAAAUCAGGAGGUCCCCUGUUUGUGGGGAGCGCUUCCGCAGGGUUAAAAUGUCCCCUGUCUCCUGGAUGAGCUGUGGUGAGCGAUUUCUCAGGCUCUGCCGACGCUGCUGGGACGGGAGCGGGAGGGGCUCCCCCUCUCGCCGCUUUUGGCUGCCCGGGCUAGAGUGGAUGGGCUGCUACAUGCAGGCUCGGAGGCUGUGCAGUUUGGAGGGAUGGGACAAGGCUGACGUCAUUUGGGUGUGGGGCCACCCCUGCUGACCGAGGGGGGUGGAGAGACCCUUCUGACAUCGGUUUUGGGGCAUGGACGGGGGCAGGAGCUAUGGGUGGACUAUCAGGUAACAGAGGCGUUGCCACCCAAGCUCCGGAGGCUGGCUCAGCCGAUUGGAACUGCCCCCAAGGUGUGGAGAGGGGUGGGGAAAACGGCAAUUUCCUGAGUCCCCCCACUCCUGUCUCCGAGACACGCGCAGAUGCAAAGAAUCAGAAAAAUGCUUCGGCCGCCUCCCACACCAACAAUUUCAUCUUCGGAAAUCCCCCUGGGUCCCUUUCGGGCUUUGCCUUGGUUGCAUCACCCACACCACGCACCUCUCCCGGACCAGGGGAUGACUCCAUGCCGGCAUUUAUAGGGAUAAGACCUCCCUCUUGUAAUUCAGGGGGGACGGGGAGGCAGUCUCUCCCCCUGUGGGAGCCGCAGGUCCCUGGUCUCCUGCCUGCGAGGAAGCACCCUGCAGCUGCUGAGUUGUUUGCAAAGCAGCCUCUGCAAAGGGUUUUUUGCAUUUUGCCGUAUGUAAAACUUCAUGCACAAGUCUACCAACCGAAAGUAGUCUCACAGCACCCCUGCCCCCACGCGCAGCCGCGUGGCAAAGCUUAGCAUCCACAUCUUCCCACACAUUUGGGUCAAACAAGAUAUUAAGGGAGAUAUUUGGGAUCAUCUCCCUCACCCAGGAUAGCAAAAGUUCUAGUUCCUGUCUUGACACUCGAAUGGGAUGCUAUUUCAUCAAUAUUUCUAGAUUAUUUACGACAUCCGAGUCAGUUUUUGAGAGGUUACCACCCAUCCUGAUUCCUUGUCAGCUUAACGGACCCUAAUGGGCAUGUCAUUCUCGGAUCUGGUCCGUCCUACGACAUUGGAAUCGGCUCCUUCCACCGGGUUCUCCGAAUGUCCAAACGCUGAGAUGUUCAUCUGCAGAGGAGUUUUCCUGGGUCCUGGUUUUCGUAAAGCGUUCCUGGCACAGUUUCUUCUUACUGAGCUGCUACUUCUACAUGGAGGCACUAGUCAUCGGUUUCUCUGGGUCUGGAUUGUAGGCAGUUGAGACAGUACUUCAUGUUUGGACUCAAGUGUUUAUUAUUUCUUAUCAGUAAAACAGUCUCACAACCAUGAGUUCGGCAGCUUUUUAUUAGAAGGCACAAAAUGGCUAACAAUCUCUUGUUAUAAGGUCUUUUAAGACUAAACUAUCCAAUUAAGAACUGACACCCAGAUUAUUUUCCCUUUUAACCCAAUAACUGAUCCCAAAGAGCCCACGAUGUGGACUUUUCUUCCCAAUUACAAAAUGCUACCUAAACCCAUGAAGAAGAAAGAAGAAUGUGAAAAAUGCCAAUCACUUGUUUUUAAAAUGUUAAAGGUUUAAUAGUAAUAAAAUAGUUAUAAAAAUAGUAAUACAUUAGAGUAAUAAUAAUUUAGACAAUUUGAAUUAAGACAAUAUGAGACAAUAAAAACAAAGAGUUACGGAUGUCCGGGUACCUUUUUCUGGGCAGCACAAGCCCGAAAAAGGACACCCGUUAACAAAGGAUUAACCCUUAAAAACAAGAGCCUGUUGCAGAUUCAUACAUCUCAUAUAUGAUGCAUAAAUUCCAUUCAAAUACAGGAUUCUGUCUGGUCAUCCUCAACUUCUUCCUCUGAAUCCUAACAGCGCCUCAAAGGCAGGAAGAAGUUAGUUUCUUCUGAUAAGAGUGCAAUAAAUUCUUUUUCUCUGAAAGAUUUAGGUGUCCUGUGGCUGUUAUCUCGCUGCAAGUCCUUUCUUUAAAAAAAAGUAUCUUACAUAGCAUAGUUUCUAUUUUAACAAUUUUAUUUUUUUUAACCUAAAACUAUAUUUAACACACUACUUAAGAGAAUUAAUACAGAAUUACUUUCUAACACAACACAGAUAAUAUUCAUUUUAAUGUUUGCGAAAAGCGAAUCAUAAAAUACGCAUUUUUCACAAUCCCCACUCUUAUUCUUUGUAAAUCAUUUGGCUUGAGCAAUAUUUCUUGUCUGCUUGCAUCUUCUGGACUAUGCUGGCAAAAUAAAACAGAGAAUUACACAAGGAAGAAAUAUCAAGACAGUUGAAAAAUCUUAAUUUCUGCUAAUACAUUCCCCACCAGCUAGGUUUUAGCAUUGUUUUCUAAUUUUUGGACUGGUACCUGGGUUAUUAUAUGUAUAUUUUUUCUUUGAUUCUUUUUGCUUGUUUCUAGAAUGACUUUUCUGUGAUCAUCAAUUUUCAACAAUCUGAUAUAUUAAACUUUCCACAAACACCCCCUUCUUUAACCAAUAAAUAGUCCAAAGCUAACCUAUUCUGGUACACUACAGUUUUUGCUUGGCUUAGCUGACUUGAUUUUAACCCUAAUGCCUGGGCGAAUUUAUUUGCUAUCAUUUCUAUAACUGCUUGGAGUCUUGUUAUAUGACUCAACAUAUAAUUUGGGGUCAAUACAGAGUUAAAUUGCUGUGUUGGUUUUACCUUUUUGUUUACUAGUUUUUUUUUUUUUCUAAAUCUUGAAAUGUAUCUUUAAGAUUAAAUGUAAAACAAAUCCAUCUCUCUCCUUUUGGACAUUCAGUUCUAAAUCUAUUACCACUUUUUCUUCAGUUUCUGGUAAUCCAAUAAUUUUCUCCAUUUUGCCUACAGGUUCUUCAUUUGGAUGGGUUAUAACAGUGGCUGUUGACAUAGGCGUGUGUAAUAAAAGAGGAACUUUGGUUUCUUUCUAUGUGAUGCUUUCUGUAGCAUUUGUGACACAAUCUUGCUGGUAUCCCGAAAGGGAUAAGACAACAAAUGAUUUCCAGAAACAGGGAUAACAGAGGUCCAGUAUGGCUUAUACUCCCACCUCCCAUGCCUGUGAGGUUGCCACCCACAGCAGGUGUAUUUGAUCUUCUUGGUGGCGAAAUACAGAGGCCAAUCUGGUCUUGCCCUCUAUUUCCUUGUCACUUUCUCUUAACUAAUUUCCAGGCAAAUUGUUUUUGACACCCCUUAACUGUAGUUUCACACCAUUCCUCAGGCAUCUCUUAUUCAACAGGCACUAAUAAUUCCCAUCCAUAACACAAAGUUAUUACUUUAACACUUCUUGCAAUAAGAGCAUAAAUUUUGUGAACUACAAUACUAAUUAUUCCCACAAUUCAAGCAUUCACUUAUAACCCAGCUAGCAUGUCCAGUAUUGGGAUGAAUUAAAUAAAGUUUACAGUAUGAUACUGAUGGAAGUAGUACUUCUCCUUCUUCCCUGUACAAUUCAUGGGCUAAGGUCAGAAUACAAAAACAGUCUUGAUCCCUCUGUCUGAAGUAUUCUUCUCUAAGGAGAUGUUUUAUUCAGGCAGUGCUCGAAACUACUGAUAUAAGCGUUGCCUCAUUUCAUAAUUAGGUGUUGUUCUUUGUACAUUUAUUGGAUCAUUUGGGUUUUCCCAAACUAUUACCACUCAAUCUCUAUUGGGAAGUCAGUUCGGUAUCACCUGGUUUAAAUGUGAUAGUCCAUUCCUCACAAGGUUCUUUCACAAGUCUUUUGAUUCUGCUGGCAUGAAUUCACCCUCUUUCUGUGAUUCCGAUUGUUGCUUCAGUAGUACCUGGAAAGGACUUCUUAAUAGCAUAGUAAUAAAGGAAAGACAAUACUGCAUUAACUUUUACCAUUCACUUUUCUUCCAAACUUUCUGGGUUUAGCUAAAAGCUUUCUCUACAGCAGCCUCUUCUUCUUAUAUCCAGCUGUGCUAAUAGCUGCAGAGGCAAAUUCUUCUUUCUGUGAGCUACAGUUAGUUAAAUAAGAAAGGCUAGACUAAUUUUAACACGAGAUGUAUAACAUCUAUUGCUUUUUACUUUUUGGGCAACAUUUAAUUUUUUUAGCCUUACAAACUCAUUCUUCAGGAAAAAAAAACUUCUUAUUUUUAACAGCAAACAAAACAAAAAAACUUCUACUUAAGAAAAACAAACCACUUUGUGAGGUUUGGAGAGUCAGCAAUGUAGUAUAUAGUCGAGAUAAUUCAUGCUAUAUAUGUGUAUAAAAUAUUGUAAGAUCCAAAUUAUGUCUUUGACCACCCUGGCUGAGAGCAGAGUCUUAUUUCUAUUCAGUUAGUUCCCGGACAUCUUUAAGAUAAUAUCAAGUCCAUUAACGUAUGAAUGAAACCUUCCCGGGCCAUGAUUGCCGACUUCCCAGGAAUGUCUGAGCCACUCAGGAGGACUUGCACCUGGGACGAUUGCAUCUACCAACUCGAGCACCGGGGGGCGCCACUCUGCUACAUGUGAAAGAAGGAUAUUCCGAAUAAGCUCAGACAGCCAUCCAGACAUCUGGACUGGCUUUUGUAUAUUUCUGCAUCUGUAUAGUCACAGUUAUACAUGUGAAGGGACACAAAGGAACCUUCGGUCAUUUCUGCCUCAGGCAGAAUAAACUGUAUAUAAGCUAGCGGCAUGAAACAGUCAGGGUGAACCACUGGGGAGACACUGACACUUUGUCAGUCGGAUCCCGGUUCACCCAGCGCCGACUUCCGGAGUUGACGCUGCCUUGGCUGUGCUGGUUUUCGAAAUUCUAUUUUUGUUAAACGAUCUAAUAAAUCUUUGUUAAAUUUUAUUAUAAAUUUGGCUGCCGAUUUGAUCAUUUAUAGCAGCAAUCUCUGCUUUGAUUUUAUCUUUUAGUGCUAGCCCCCUCCCCCUCUUUUCACAGCCUUGCUGUCAAUGCUGUUCUUCGCCCUUCCCCAGCUGCUGGGCUGGAGCAGGGGAGAACAGCCUCAGGCAUGGGGGCCCUGGGGGCAUGCCUUGGGUCUCUUUUGUUCCCUCUCUCUCUCUUCUCUCUCUCUCUCUCUCUCUCUCUCAGCCCACUUACCAGGGCUGACGCUGCCAUCCUGGACUCAGGACCCCGACAGUCUGGGAGCCACCCCGGCAGGUCUGCCACUGAGCCAGCCCGCUCCUGGCUGGCAACCCUGUGUCAUCUGCUCUCAGCACCGCCGCCGGGUCACCUCUAUGAAUCCGUCCCUGCCGCAGCCCCUGAGACCCUGCUGCUCGUAGGGGAGCGGUCAGACACUUCCCGACCUUGACAACCCCAAAACUUUGCGUCCUCAGGUGCUCCUGACAUACUUUUUCCUUUCUGUAGUCAACUUAUCCUCUUUUCCCUUCAAGGAAAGCCCGUUCUGCUAAACUCUUUCCGGACCCCAGUUCAGCAUUGAAUAACUUCCUAACAACCAUGUGUUAGGGCACUUCCCUACCUUCCAUGCAAAAAACUCGAAUUCAGACUUCUGCUCUCUUCCAGCACCAAGAUGCUAUCAUUCCACAUUCCGUCAUCCCAGAGUUUGCUAACCACCCCCCUACUUUAACUUCUCUCUUUCUUCUCUUCUUACUUUUUUCUUUGAUUCAACUCACCUCCGACAGUACGAGGUGUACCCAACUAAUUUACUUCCAAAAAUAAGCUUACAACUUUCUUUUACUAGGAUUGCAGUAGCUGUUAUAACUUAAAUACAUACUGGCUGGCUGUAGCUUACUGGAUCUAACAUCUUUGAUGUAUAAGCUACUAGAUUUUUUACUCUUCCUCACUCUUGAAUUAAAAUUUUAUGACCUACUCCAUUUUCUGUAUUUAUGUAUAGAUGAUAAAGGAUUUUUCUAACAAGGGUAAGCUUAAAGCUGGUACCUAGGCUAGUUUUAACUUCAAGUCUUAAUUUAACAAUAUCUUCCUUGGUCCGUUUUAUAUCAUCUCCCUCUGUCAAUUUUUCAUACAGAAAUUUUACUGCCGGUGUGUACCCCUCAAUCUAUAAUCUAUAUUAUUCUAAUAAUCUAAGUAAUUUUCUGAUCUCCCUCUUUGAAGAGGGAGGGAGAAAGGAUAAAAUUCCUGCAAUUCUCUCAUAGUUGGGUUUCCAGCUACCUUUAUUAAGUGUCUAAUAUAUUUUACCUCCAGUUCUACAAAUUACAGUUUCUUUUUGAUACCCUUAGUCCUGUUUUCCCCGAGAAAAUAUAAAAGUUGUGUAGUAGCUUCUCUCACUUCAACUUCCUUAGAUAGUAAAAAAUCAUCCACAUAUUGGAUAAUUUGUAUUCCAGGAGGAGUAGGGAAAUCUUGUAAUAUUGUUUUUAAAGCUUGCCCAAAUAAGUUUGGGGAUUCCAUAAACCCCUGUGGUAACUUUGUCUAUCUUAACUGCUGCUUUCUCCCAGUUUUUUUUGGAUCCUCCCAUUAGGAGGCAAUAAUAUCUCCCAUCCCAAUAUUAGUUUCUUCCCUCAAUUACCACAUCUUUAACGACCAGAACUGAAAAACUUUCUCAUUUUGCCGCUGUUACUUUUCACUGUAUAUUUGCUCACACCAUAGCCUUUUGGAAUAUUUAAUGGGUGAAGUAAACAGGGGCAGGAAAUUUUCCUCAUAUAUAAUGCUUUUAUUAAAGUGAUCAGCUCGAAAUGGGGGUUUUGGCAGAUCCGCGGAGUUCUGCCGCCGCUCCCAGGAGCGACUCGGAAGAGGAGUAUUUGUGCAGCUCUGUCUCCUAGAGGCCACAGCCGGGAGUCCUGUCCUAUCCAGGGCAGUGGGGGUAGGCCCAAGGUUGCAGCUAGAAUUGUCAGUCCAGGGGGUCCUGAGUCUGACUGGCAUCGUUUUUAGUUGGGGCGAGGAGUGACCGAGGUUUUCAAGCAUCUCUGCCGGCUUCGGACCUCGGCCCUGCUGUCCAGACACCACCCUGACUUCUCAAUUCUGCUUUGGCUCGUCUCUUUUGGGGUAUUUUCCAGGAUUUGGUGAAGGUUCCGUCCCAGUGCAGUCUGGGUUUGAGAUAAAUUUGCAUGUCUCCUGAGAUGCAAAUUUCUCCCUCUCCCCACCGUCCGAGGGGAGGUUGUCAUCCUCCUGGCAACAGGCUAGGGUGGUUCUGAAAAACAAGAAUUCUCUACAAUAGAGAGUUAAAGGGCGAUACUUAAGGAUACUCAAGAGGUGAUUACAACAUUUCACUAACAGAGAACUCUUGGCCAGCGAUCAAUUCCCAGCUCAACUCAAAACUCCUCUGCAGCCCCUUCUCUUAAAAAAAACGGUAACUUUUUUUGUUCAUAACAAUGGGCAGGUUCUCUCUGCCCCUGUGUCUACUACAAAUUCCAAUCCUUCUUCUUGGGGACUCACUUUUAAAGUUAUCACAGGCUCCAGAUGGUAUUUGUCCCCUAAAAAUAGAGCCUAUGACCUCCCUAUUUCCCCUCUGUGCCCACUUCUUUAAAGAUUUACAGAUCUUUCGCUUGCUUAGGACUAUUUUCCUAUCUCUCCUAAGUUCAUCUAUUUAGUUGGAGUUUCUUCUUUUCUCUCUAAAAAGCUGUCUCUUAAAAACCUUUUUUUUUUUUUUUUUUGCAUUUCGCCUUUGAUAUGCUGUCUCAUUUAUUCCCUUGAUUACAUAAUUACGAUAAUUAUUCAUGUGUUUACUCCCCUCAUUAUUUUGACCCCACUCAGGAGGUACAGUUGGCAUUUUGUCUUUUCUGGGGGUCCCUGCAGAUUAUCUUUUUUCCCCCAAGCUUUUAUUCCAGCUGCUCUGAUUCAUUGCUUUUCUUCUUGAGAAAAAUAUUACUUUCAUUGUAGACCGCACCUCUCCUAAAGUAUAAAUGUUUGGACCUAAAAAUUGGUCUAAUUGUUCAGCUAUGCUUAUGGGAUCCUCCAAAUAUCUCUUUUAUUUAUUUCUUAAAAUUUCUGACCUCAGACGAAGUCAAAGGAGCAUUUACAAACGCCGGUCCGCCCCCUCCUAUGGGAAGCUCUCUUAAUGGAAAUAGACCAAUCCCUUUAUCCCAUUCUUUUUGGAUUUUUAUCUUCUAUAGCCUUUCUCCUGCAUAUUUAGAAAGACUCAGGAGAGGGCUUUCUUUCAACUGAACUUUUAGUGUUUCGAUAAGGUGGUUCCUUUAGAGAUUUCCCCUGAUCAGCCGGAGCUGUGGUUACUAAGGGAACGGAGCUCGGGGCAGGACGGGUGGGACUCGGCAUAGCUCUGAGUCUCAGUCCUCCAAAGGCGGGGUCUGCAGGCGGGAUCGCCCGAGGGGAUGUUCCGGUGCAGACCGAGCUGGAGCGCGGAUAGCCCCACAUGGCCAAUGGUGGCUGAUCCGGCAGAGACAAAGCCGGCGAGAGACCCCGGCUGCAGCGGCGGUAGCCGACCAGAGUCAGGGCAGCCGGGGACGGGGCAGACGGGACCCCCCCCUCGGUGCGGUCGGCGCGGUGACCACGGUCCACCCGGCAGGACAGACCCCCACCGCCGCCGGCACGGCCAGCGGAGCGGCCGCGGGCCGGGCGGCUGGACUGGGGCACACGGACUGUGCCCGAGCCGGCACAGGGGCUGGAGGGUGGUGCAGCCGCGAACGAGUGGGGAAACAAACGGGAAUGGAUGAGGAGGCAAGCUCAGACGGAAUGGAGCUCUUCCAGGGAAAAUCCCAGGGCGCAGCCUGGAGCCCCAUCCGCCCUUGUGAGGACAGAGACAGUCCCUGGCUGGCUCGCCAAAAUGAUUUGCGGAAAGAAAAAAACUCCACAACUUGUAAGAAGUUGUAAAGACGGUAUGUUUAUUACAGCGCUGGAUGCAUAUGGAGAUCGUUCCCAUAAAGGACAUGCUCACCCCUGAGAACUCUCGAUCCUUUUUUUUAUCCCCCCUUACUGGUACAUAUGCAAAGAAUUUCACAAUAGGUUCAUACAUGUUCAUUUUACUGGUUUCAUGUUACACUUGCAGCUAGUUUUUUUUUAUCAGAAAGUACAGAAAGAACUCCUGGGUCAUCCUGUCCUGCCUCCCACAGCCUCAGCUUUGGUUUUCAUCUGUUUCAAAGUUCAAGGGGCCCCUCUCAUCUCUUUCGCAUUUUUUCCUUCAGCUGAGGCAGUUUUUUGAGCACAGUUUUUUUUGUGAGAACAGGCAGUCUUGGGCACAGAGUAAACAAAACAGCAUAUUUCAGCUAUGCUAGCAAGCUACAGACUUAAUAAUUCAAAAUGGCACAUUUCACCUAAAUCUGAAAUGGGUUUCUACCCUGGUAAAUUACCACUCUGUUUCAGAAAUAAGGAUAAAAAGAAGGCUGAAUCCUCUAACAAUGUGAGACACCCCAUGGGAAAUGCCCAUGACCUCUCCCUUUAUUCAAAUAAAGCUACAGGACUCCUCCGUCUCCUUUUUGGACAUAAACUUCUGGUGUUUGUGGAUUAAUUUUCCUGAGAAAACGAAGGCUCUUUUCCAGGAUAUUUCCAUCAUCUGAGGGCGAUGGGCAGCGAGCAGAGCUUAAGGCGUGCCUCACCCAGUUUCGGUGAUCAGCUCCCCUUGCUGGUGUCCAGCACCGGGCGAUUGAUUGGGUUCUUGAGACUGUUCAGGAGACAGAUGAGUGGCGGACCAGGGGGUCCACGAAGCAUCCGCAGGGAAGGACCACUGAAAAUCUCACCAGUGAGUAAAAUGGGAUCUUCAGGGAGUAAACCUGCGAGGGCACCCAUGGAGGGAAGCAAAGGUAAAGCUGGGAAGGGGGCCCAGCAAAAGGGAUGAUGAUCCCAAAACAUCUUCAAAUAAUCCCUUGGAACAAUGCUGAGUUAGUUUACGCAUUGUCCCAGAGGUAAUUAAGGACAUAGAUGCUGAAAGGGGGCAAUAAGGGAAAGGUGAGAAAGAGUUUUGACAACAGGAGAUAGACAAA